rnacentral:tRNA from 16 species
GGGGACGUGGUGCAGCCUGGUUAGCAUGCCGGUCUGUCACACCGGUGGUCGCGGGUUCAAAUCCCGUCGUCCCCGCCA